CUUGUGUGCCCGUAUGUUGGUCUGGGCGAGGAGGCGUGUGACAGGGAAGCCGGCGGACGGGCCCCCCUCCGACUCCCACGGAUCGGAUUACAGCCCUUCCACUCCACAGCCUCCAGACGGCUGCCUGCAGUCCGAUCACUGGAAACCCAGCGCUCACGGGGGGACGCCUUUCUCAUUUUGAUUUGCCUCUGUCUAAUUUUAUGCUUAUUUUUUUCCAAGAGGCUCAUUCUGACUUUUAAAAUCGUUCUCUGAGGAUUAAAAUGCCCUUCCGGCCGUAUGUCCCCGUGUUCUUCUGCCUUGAAGAGUAAAUCCGGGCGUGAGAGGGGAGAGAAGAAACCUCCCCACUGUCCAUCACACGCUGAUCGUGAACGGGGUAGAGAAGAGGGACCACCGCCAGCACUUCAUCUCAUUUGUUUAUUAUUUUUCUGGCAAUCAUAAAUAUACAUCCCGGUUCCCGGGGAGGGAGAGCAGAGUGGGGGCGAAGAAACGCCGAAAGUCACCAUCUCUUCAUUGGAAAUAAUUGAUUUUUUUUUCUCUUAUUAUAAUUUUGUCUACUAAAUAAUUUGUGAAAGGUGGAUUUGUUAACAUGGAGACGGUGGAAAAAGAGUGUGGAGCGCUUGGAGGGCUCUUCCAGGCAAUCGUUAAUGACAUGAAGUGCUCGUACCCAGUGUGGGAGGACUUCAAUGCCAAGGCCACCAAGUUACACUCCCAGCUCAGGACAACCGUACUGGCAGCGGUGGCCUUCCUCGAUGCCUUCCAGAAGGUGGCAGACAUGGCAACCAACACCAGAGGUGCCACGCGAGACAUCGGAUCGGCGCUGACGCGGAUGUGCAUGCGGCACCGCAGCAUAGAAGCCAAGCUGCGCCACUUCACAAAUGCCUUGAUGGAGAGUCUAAUCACCCCCCUGCAAGACCGCAUUGAAGAGUGGAAGAAGACAGCCAACCAGAUGGACAAAGAUCAUGCCAAGGAGUACAAGAGAUCCCGUCAUGAGAUCAAGAAGAAGUCCUCCGACACGCUGAAGUUACAGAAGAAGGCCAGGAAAGGUAGAGGAGACCUGCAGCCCCAGCUGGACAGCGCCAUGCAGGACGUGACUGACAUGUGCCUGCUGAUGGAGGAGAUGGAGAAGCAGGCGGUGCGCAGGGCACUGGUGGAGGAGAGGGGUCGAUUCUGCACCUUCAUCAGCUUCCUGCAGCCUGUAGUGAAUGGAGAGAUCGCCAUGCUGGGAGAAAUCACGCACCUCCAGGGCAUUAUCGAUGACCUUGUGGUACUGACCACCGACCCCCAGAAACUGCCCCCCGCUAGCGAGCAGGUGAUUAACGACCUGAAGGGGUCCGACUACAGCUGGUCUUACCAAACCCCCCCCUCGUCCCCCAGCAGCUCCGGCUCCAGGAAGAGCAGCAUGUGCAGCAGCGUAAACAGCGCCCACAGUAGUGCUUCCCGCUCCUCAGGCGGCUCGCAGACUCACUCACCCAGUUCGUCCUAUCGCUACCGCAGCCUGGCUCAGCCGCCACGGGGGGGCACCCAGCGCCUCUGCAGCGUUUCCUCCCAUGACUCGGGUUUCGUAUCGCAGGAUGCCAACAUCUACUCGAAGCCGCCGUCGCCUAUGCCCUCUGACAUCACCAGCCAGAAGUCCUCCAGCUCGGCCUCUUCUGAAGCUUCGGAAACCUGCCAGUCGGUCAGUGAGUGCAGCUCGCCUACCACGUUUGGCUUGACCUUCUCUACCUUCCGCCCUGCUCUCUCUCACAAUGGCUCCAUCAAGCCUCUACCUCUCAUACUGUCUGCAUCCCUACCCUAUAAUCGCUCCCCUGGAUCCAAUAAUUCAUCUCCCACAUCAAAGGUUCCUUGUUGGAAGGACUGGUCAAAACCUGUUCCCUAUGAACAGCCAUUGGUCAAUACGCUACAGCGCAGAAAGGACCCACCGGAGCGCCUGAGAGAGCCAGAAACCUCUCCUGCUCCCCCGGCCUACACCGCGAUACAUCCAGAAGAUUCCCAGAGGCCUAGAAUGUCUCCAGCCACAAUUGCUGCCAAGCACGGGGAGGAGGUGUCCCCCGCCGCCAGUGACCUGGCCAUGCUGCUGACGAGAGGCCUGAGUGUGGAGCAGCAGACCAGCAGCCACGACUCGCUGCAGUUCUCCAGCGGCUACAGCACGCAGACAACCACGCCCUCCUGCUCGGAGGACGCCAUCCCUUCACACGGUAGCCCGACUUGGAGGAGCGAGGCUUUCAAACCACACAUGUCCGAGUACGAAUGCUACUCCGUGAACGGCGACACCGAGGUGGAGGUGCAGGCCGACUUCGAUAAGUCCUCCACCAUUCCGCGUCACAGCAACAUCGCUCAGAACUACCGGCGCAUGAUCCAGACCAAGAGGCCGGCCAGCACCGCGGGUCUGCCCAGCGGCAUGGGGCCCCAGGGUGUGCCACCCGGGGGAGGGGGCGGGGGAGGCGGUCUGGGUACCCCAGGGACGGCCACCAUUCGGCGGACCCCAUCCACCAAGCCCGGGGUGAGACGCACCCUAUCCAGCGCGGGCCCCAUCCCCAUCCGGCCGCCCAUCGUGCCGGUGAAGACGCCCACGGUACCCGACUCCCCAAGCCACACGGGACCGUCGGUGUGGGCAGGCAGCGAAGAGUGUGUCUUCUACACGGACGACGCCUCGCCUGGGGUGCCCGAGUUCAGCAGGGCGUCGCCGAAGCGCAUGAGCCUGCCCAACACGAUGUGGGGGUCCGGUGGGGGCCUGGAGACAAGCGUCUACACCCAGCAGCUCGAGGAAGACCAGCUGCUCGCCGCCAACCGCCACAGCCUGGUGGAGAAGAUCGGCGAGUUGGUGGCCAGCGCCCACGCCCUGGGUGAGGGCCAGUUCCCCUUCCCCUCGCUGCCCGAUGAGUCCACGCAAGACCCCCAGCCCUCGGAGGGAGAGGACAUGCUCGUGUCGAUCCGCCGUGGGGUGCGGCUCCGCAAGACCAUCUCAAACGACAGGUCGGCGCCCAGGAUUUUGUGAUCGGGCCCCGGGACAAGACCGGCCGGCACCAAGGUGUCUGUAUCACUGACUUUAUAGAGAAUAUAACGUUUGUGAAGAUAACAAGAAUAAAUAAGUAAUUAAAAGAAUUGAAUGAAUAUUAAUAAUUAAUGAAACGUUCAAGGCUCAGGCCUCUCUAAAUGUAGUCUCUAUGGACGCAUGUUUUCUAAUUAAUGCCACUGGUACUUUGACUGUAGAGAUGUGAUGAGCUGCUUAGGAGUAUCUGCUGUGUUUCCUGCCCAGCUGUUAACCACUGCCCCCACACUCCAGAAAUUCCCUGACAUCUGACCCCUAGGAGGCACAGUUGACAGGUUAUUAGGGGACAGGCUGAAAAACAAGCCCUCUCCACUUUGUCUGUGUCCGUGUGUGUGUCUGUCAGACUGGGAAGGCCUCUCCAGAUGGUCUCAUGAUGGGCAACGAAAGUAGCCAUCUUUUCUGCUGAACAAGAGUAACAAUUUCCUGGAAGAAAUUGAUUAAUAAACCUUUAGGGUUGUUUUUUUUAAUUAUAACCUUUUGGUAAUUAUAAGGCAUCUGAAAGCAUAUGUAGACUAUUACCCUGCUUCGUAUCGUAUGUGGGUCUUAUAGGCCUUUUUAGUAUGUCUUAAUGCAGACUUUGGUAAUUUGAAGGUGAACUCCCAUAAUGGCCACCAGAUGGCAGUCAGGCCUCAUCGUGUGUCGCGUGGCUGUAGUGAUUGUUUCGUGUGAAGUGUGUCGUACACAGAGUAAUUCAUAUGAUGCGAUAGGGAAAGGGAAGUGCUAUGCAGAGCAAGAUUACAGAUAGAGGAGCGGAAGAUCUUUUAAGGUGAAUAAUUUCCUGCAUUAUCAGGAUCUUGAAGGGGGUGCUCAUUUUGCUGUGUGAGCAAGUUUUACUGGGGUGUAGCCAUGCCGAGAGGGCUGUGAGAACGCGCGGACUGGGUGGGAAAUGAGGUUUCACUGAACAGCUCUGAUACUGGGAAGAUAUACAGAUGGACUGCAGAAAAUAAGACUUUCGCUGAAAUUGCUGUAUUUACGGAAACGUAGCAUCGGAGCAGAUUGUGACUGAUCCAUUCCUGUGUGAGAUAAUGAGUGGCUAUGAAUCCUUCUUAUACAAGGAUAUAUAGGAGAUGUAAAGAUGUUUUAUCCGGUUAUUUAAAGCCAAAGUAUGUUCUGUACAGUUUGAAAGAAGCUGGUAAGGAUGGAGAACAGAGCCCACGUUGUUUUUGCGUUUAAAGGAAACUUAAAAUAAAUACUUUGAUGAUUAAAGCAAUGCAAGAAUACCAAGCACAGGGAUGUGUGGUGUAAAGGAAGCUGGGAAUUGCAGGUGUGUGUUUGUGUGGUUGCUUGGGAGGGGGGGUGUAGCGGCGACAGCUGCUUCAGUCAGGAGGCCAGCGGCUGCUAAGUCAUGUAAUUACACUGAAGCACAGCUCACCACGAUGUACAUAAACGAGAAGAUGAAGUCUAAUUGUACAAGUCGCAAAUGUUUUUGACACUAAUAUUGUAUAGAGAAUUCUGGGAAAAAAAGAAAAGGCAUAUGUCCACUAUAUCGGAGCAAGAACAGCAAUGUAAUUAAUGUAUUUUUGAGUGAAUGAAAGAGCAUAUAAUUACAUUUAAGUAAAAAGAACGCAGCAGUUGGGUCAGUGAUCACGCGAGAGUAUAUUUUGUCUGUGACUUGUUCUCUUUUUCACCUGUUUUUACUUUGACCAAAAUAAUGGAUGAAUUUGAUCGUUUAAUUGCGGAGCAGCCGAAGCGGUUUGGACGGAUCCGACGGGAUCCCGGCGUGGCUGCAGAUGCCUGCAUUGCUCCGCAUUGCUGCGUCGCCGCCGGUCCCAUCUCACAUGUGACAGCCCCCCAGCCCAGUCUUCCCAAGUGCUUUCAACACAAUCUAUUAAGUGCUUACAGGGAGCGUCCUGCUAUAAGUGUACACUGAUUAUGGACCAAUCUAACGGCUUUUCCCCCCAGACUCGACUGCCCGUUUGGCCACCUGUAUUGACUGCAGGUGGUGUGUCAUUAAGAGGAGGCCCCCUGUCAUUAAGCCCUGAUGAAGCUAUAUCGGGGUAACAUUAGCGGUAAUUGAUUUCCCGACAGAGGGUUUUUUGUUCUGCUCUGCACGCAGCUUGCGCGCAUCAGCAACAUGCCGCAUCGCAAAGCUGCACUUAUCCUCACUCCGCUUCAAAAACACAAGGCAGGACAGGAAUUGGGUCACGUCUUGUUCUAGUUCCCCGAGGUGCCGGCGGUGCCGUCCCUCUGCCCUGAGCCUUAAGGCGCUGAUGUAACGAAGCAUGGACGCCGCUUACAGGACAGCGCUUGACUGGCCGAUAGCGGAGUGUGAUAUUUGCCCUGGCGCAACACCUACUCGCCAGCCCACACACAUCCUGUCCCACCGUGUCAGAAAGCGUCGAUCCUGCACCCCCAGCUCCUGCUGGUCUAAGAGAAGCGAAGCUGCUUACGGGAGGGACCUUGACCUUUCCUCAUCUGUCUAGUUUUAGGCAGUUCCUUUGGACUGUGCCCUGGAAAAAUCAAACGUCUCUUUUUCUGGAGCUUUCCGUGGUCUCCGUGGUGCUUCUUCCAACCCAGCUGCUUCUCUGAACUUGAUCUUUGCCACAGUUUUGUUUAUUAAUGAUUUAUUAUAAUUAGUAUUAUUGUGACAAGAUGUAUGUGUGUGCGCUGUUUUUACAAAAACAAAACUGUUCCUACCGUUGACAUCAAACACUGCAGAUCUGUUGUCGCACUAUCCACUCUUUUCCAAUUUAAUUUAUUGCUUCCCCCCCCCCCCCCCAAACGUUUUGCCACAUCUGCAAUGGCAGGUCUUUCUUUAUCUGUAAUAUUUAUCUUUUUCAUUUAACUUUGGACACUGCUAACGUAACAAAAUGCACUGUGAUUACUCCAGUAUUAAUAAAAGUUGUACUUAAAUUCAAA